rnacentral:misc_RNA from 1 species
AAGUCGUAACAAGGUUUCCGUAGGUGAACCUGCGGAAGGAUCAUUAAUGAAUUUUGGAGUUCUACUGUGCCUGCCGUUCAUUUGGAUGUGUGCACGUAGUCUCUAUAAAUCCUUAUCAACACCUGUGCACCUUUAAAAAGGGGGAAACUGAUUAAGCUUUUUACGGGCUUAUGAGGAAUAACCUUUUUUCUUAUACAAACUCUUAAUGUCUAUUAGAAUGUUCUCUGGCCGCAAGGCUAUAAAAUAUAAACAACUUUUAACAACGGAUCUCUUGGCUCUG